rnacentral:lncRNA from 1 species
CCAUUUCUUGGGCCGCUCCAGUGGCAUAUGGAGGUUCCCAGGCUAGGGGUCUAAUGGGAGCUGUAGCUGCCGGCCUACGCCUGAGCCACAGCAACGCAGAAUCUGAGCUGCGUCUGUGACCUACACCAUAGCUCACAGCAAUGCUGGAUCGUUAACCCACUGAGCAAGGGCAGGGACCGAACCCUCAACCUCAUGGUUCCUAGUCGGAUUCGUUAACCACUGCGCCACGACGGGAACUCCUAUAUUUUCUUAAUCUAAAAAUGUUUCUGGUCCUGUCGUGCCUCAGCAGAAACCAAUCUAAUAUCCAUGAGGACAGAGGUUUGAUCCCUGGCCUCUGUCAGUGGGUUAAGGAUCCAGCUUGCCCUGAGCUGCAGUGUAGGUUGCAGGUGCGGCUCAGAUCCAGUGUUGCUGUGGCUGUGGCAUAGGCUACAGCUCCGAUUUGACCCCUAGCCUGGGCACCUCCAUAUGCCGUGGGUGUGGCCCUAAAAAGACAACAACAGAAAAAAAAUGCCCAGGAUAUUAAGUGAUGCAGGACUGCAGAGAAUAGUCAGUAGAAUUAAUGUGCUAAUGAGGUAGUAACACAGCUUUGCUCAGGAUUAACACAUCCAGGAGCCAACCAAUUAACUGGCCUUUCUAAUACCUCCCAGGCAUAUUCUGUGUUCAGAGCUUGGUAAAGCUCCUGGUUUUUGUAAAUCUCAGUUCUCCUAUGCUUCUUAUUUUUUGCGGGGCUUGGGGAGCGGGGGAGGAGUUGGAAAAUGAAUGGCUUAAAGCUAGCUGAGUGACAAAUCCCAGAUUGAACUCUCUUGUUGUUACACCAAAUAUUGGUUACAUAUCUGCAUAAUCACGAAUUUGUUUAGCAUCAUCCUGGUCCUUCAUGGAUUCGCACAGCCUUCCCCCAACCCCAAUUUGGGUCAGGGCAGAAGCCCUGCUCGCUGGGCUGCGGGGAUUCUAUUUUGCCUGUUAUUCUGGCACCAACCUUGCUCUCUAAUUAACAUCACUCUAUCAUGCAGAGUCCUUGCCAAAGUAAAAAGAAUCUGAGCAUCUCUAACGUCUAACAUUUAAGUCAGCCACAGAUGCCUUUGGGAGAGGGUCCUUAGGAAAUACUACACCACAUACUCCAUUCCUCUCUUUACUCUAAAAGCCCUUUCCUGGUGGCCAAAAUAUCCUUUCUCUUCAUGAGAUAUUUUUCUCGUGCUUAAGAUGUUCCUCAAGGUUUGGGAAAGGUACUGUCAUAAAACACUUUACAUUUAGGAUAAACGAGGGCCUUCUGUAGAGCUCAGGGAACUAUAUCCAAUCUCCUGGAAUAGACCAUGACGGAAAAGAAUAUAAAAUAGAAUGUGUGGAGUUCCCUUCAUGGCUCAGCGGUUAACAAACCCAACUAGAAUCCAUGAGGAUCUGGGUUCGAUCCCUGGCCACGCUCAGUGGGUUAAGGAUCUGGAGUUGCCGUGAGCUGUGGUGUAGGUCGCAGACAUGGCUCAGAUCCUGUGUUGCUGUGGCUAUGGUGUAGGCCUGCGGCUGUAGCUCCGAUUGGACCCCUAGCCUGAUAACUUCCAUAUGCCGCAGGUACAUCCCUCAAAAGCAAAAAAAAAAAAAGAGUGUGUGUUUGCAUAUAACAUUAGACACACACACAUGACUGAGUCACUUUGCUGUACAGCAGAAAUAGGCACAAUACUGUAAAUCAACUAUACUUUAAUCGCUAAAAAUUUUUUUAAAAAUCACUUUACAUUUGUGGAGCCACGUACUGUUCUGCCAUUCCCUUUCCUGGAAGCCCUUUCCUCAAGGAAUGAUACCUGUUUUUCUUUUCUCGAAAUCAUUAAUUGAACAAAUGUGUGCUGAGGGUCACCCUGCGCUUGUCAUGUACACCACUAGGUGCUGGAGAGGAUACAUGAGGAACAACCCUUGUUGGAGCAUCAGAGUUAAUCAUAUUACUUCUCUAUUUUGCUUAUCGGUUAGAAGAAAGUUUGCCAAUUGUUAUUCCUCCUCCAGACUCUCAGGAGAAAAAGAGUUAUGAGAAUCCCAAGAGUCUUCCUCUACUAUGUAUUCAUCCAUCCAUCCAUCCAUCCGCUCACUCCAACACUGCCAGCAUCCCAUGGCCUCCUUCAGACCAAGUGCUGUGCUAGGCACGGAGGAUGUACGCAGGGAAGUCCCAGUCUAGAGGGACACAGUUGUAUGAUCAGACCAUGAACCAGAACAUGCCCGUGAGAGUGGAACCAAGCCCUGUAGUUUCUAGCAGCUGACAUUGAUUGUGAGUUAAUUCACAGAAAGGUUUCUGUUUCUGAUGGCUGCUUUAAUUACCUUUGGGUGUAUUUUCAAGGAAAUUCAAAAACAGCAAAACCUAGAAUUCAAUUUGAUAUGUGUGAUCUUUCAACCUUUUGGGGGCAUCUUUUGUCCUUCUGUUUCUCUGCCUUCCUCCUUUACCUUCAGGCUCCUGACCUUCUCAAAGGCAGGUUGCUCGUCUGUUCCCUUUGUUCAGUGCAUCGCGUGCUUUCCCUUCCCAUCCACACCCCCACUCAUGACAGGAGACAUUUCAGGACCCCAGAGAGCCCGGGCUGGCAGAGCAAAUUGACAUGUGGGAGGGUGAGAGGCAGUCUUUCAGAGAAAAGCAAGAGGAAGAGGUAAAAAUGGCAGGCUGAGUGAGCAGAAAAGGGAAAGGAGAAAUAAAGACAAAGCAGAGAAAGAAGAAGGAAGAAAAAAGAAAAAAAGAAAAGCAACAGCAGCCCUAAUCAGAUCUCUCCAGACCUGGUGUUGAGCAAUUUCUGUAACUGGGAGUCAGGUUUAGAAAAAAGCUGGCUGGAACGGUCUUUCCCAACAUGGGGGCGAGGUGGAGCGGAAUUACAGGAAUACCAGAAGACCUGACUCAUUCACCGAGUCGCAUCUUAAAACGGAGAGUCUGCUUCGAAAUGAUGAACUUGGGGCGGGGGGAGAAAAUCUUCCCAGCAUCCAUCAUGUGUCGCUUUUGAAAAUUAUUAUUUUGGAGCACAAGCUGUUUCCUGUCUUUAAAGCCUAUUAUCUAUUUCCCUUCCAGGUGGAGCCUGGGCUGCCUGCUAAUUUAAUCCCCUGGGCUUCCCCCUCUGCCUUCAAGAUCUCAGAGAUGCAGGCUUCAGAAAGAGGGCACCUUUGUGUCUUCCUCCCCUGAAGGCCCCCAUAUACCCUGGCAGCCAAGGAGAUGCUAUUUUGGGAAACAGCAGCUGAGUGGGGAGGAUUGUUAAUUGUUUGUCAAACCUUUCCAGUCUAGUUAGAUCUCAUGGAAGGCAAAGAAAAAGAGCAAAGCCAAACCCUUUCCUUCACUCUGUUUUGCUCUCCCAUCUGAGAGCGGGCAUCUCCUUUUCCUCCUCAAGCACGAGCACACAAGCUAAUGUUUUUUUAAAAACACAAACCAAAAAAACCAUUUCUUCUAUCCAAUUGGAAACACAUGAAACAUAUGAACACAAGAACCAGUCAAAUUAAAGAAUCAUUUAUAAGCCUAAAAAUAAGCAAGCAAACCCCCCCAAAAAAAACAAAACAAAAAUCUGAUCAUAACAGAAGAGACAUCAGAGGUUCUGCCAUCCUUUGGGACGACAGCAUUUAUUCAAACCACAGUUGUGGCCAAACUGACUAAACAGAUGCCCCCUCCCCUGCCCACACGCCCUGACACACUUGAAAACAAUUCCACCCAGGCACACUAAUCAGAACAUCCAUGGUGACACACAUUCGCUCUAUCACACUGUGGACAAAUCCAAAAUCAAACAGAAAAUGACCCAUGCUGUGAAAAGCUUCCUGGGGACUCUGACCUCAGGGGCCCCCACGGGACUCUGAAACUCCCUAAGCAUUGCAUCAGCCUACAAGGAAAGGGGAGAAAAGAGUGGGAACCAAAAUCUUUAAAGGGCAAUGCCACAUAACAUUUUCAAACUAGUUUUUUCUUCCCCGGCCAAUUCUCAUAUGAAAGAAAUCUAGACCAAUAUGACUUUUAAAGAACACUUUUUUUUUUCCCCACAAUGAUCUUUUUGGUAUUUUCAGGAAAUGCCAAAAGGAAUUGUCUUUUAGUAAGAAAGGAGUUAGAGAACUUUGUAAGAGAUAACAGUGCAGGGAUGGAUAUGUUACAGUCAUUUUUCCUCAAGAGAGCUCAGACUGCCUUAUAAACAUAAAUCUGCUAAUUCACACACCAGCUCCUGGUUAGACAACAGAUCUGAAACUUCCUUUUACACUGGAGGAUGUGUCUGCAUAAAUACUUACUCGGAAUUUGCUUAGUCAAAAUGAGCACAAGAUGGGUUAGUGAUCUGGGGUUUUUGAACUGAAUGAACAGUCAUGUUGGAAUAUAGAUCAGCUGUGUUGAUCUAAAAUGGACUUGACUGAUGAAUUAGAAUUUGUUCUAUUGGCUACAGCUAUUAGAAGGGACUGGGAAGAUGAGGCAAGACUUUCUGAUUGGCUGAAAGAGAUAAAUUGCCCCUAAAUGAGAUGCUGAUACCCAGUAGGGUUUUCCAUAUAUCACUAACCAGUAAUGUUUAAUUAGAACAGAGUAGGCAAACAACUAUUGUCUCAGUAUCACACAUUUGUAACUAGCAUGGCAGAAAAAGCAAACUAUUUAAAAAAAACCUAUUUUAUGUAAAAAUAGCUUUUAUAGGGAAAUGGUAGAGCUUAGGGUCAUGGAUAAUUAUGAACUAGGGUAGGAUAAAAUUUGUUUGUUUGUUUCUGCUUUUUAGGGCCGCACCCGAGGCAUAGGGGGAUUCCCAGGCUAAGGGUCCAAAUGGAGCUAUAGCUGCCGACCUACGCCACAGCCACAGCAAUGCCAGAUCGAGCCUCGUCUGCAACCUACAUCACAGCUCAUGGCAACACCGGAUCCUUUACCCACUGAGGGAGGCCAGGGAUCGAACUCUAUACCUCACGGUUCCUAGUUGGAUUCAUUUCCACUGCACCACAACGGGAACUCCUAGGGUAAGAUAAAAUGUAUUUGCCAUGAUAGUUUGGUGAACGUUGCCACUGAAUAAUUUGUUAAGUAUUCUUGUGCUCCCUCUAGUUAGUUGUGUUUGAAAUAUUAGCCUAAGAUUUGGGGAACCCAUUAAUCUGUUUAUCAAAUAGUGCCCUUCGAUAUGCACGCGGCAGUAUUUGAGGUUCUGUGUGUAGCAGAGGCAGGAUGCAAAAAAACAGUGUAAUGUAGCAUCUCUCAGCACUUCAUCAUGUCACUGGAAAUAAGAAAUAUAUACCACAUCAAAGUUAAAUAAAUGAGAGUAAAUAAAAUAUAGAACAAAUAAAAGGGACUAAGAUAACAAGUGGUAUUGUGGCUUUAAGUAACAAACAACAGGUUACGAGAGAGUGGGCAUGCCCUAGAGAACACACUGUAGACACCCGUGGGCAUGGAAGCCUUCCUGGGCGGGGGGGUGUGCAGCAUUUGAGCCAGAGGGGAGAGGGUCUUCUGCUGAGGAAGCAGGAGGUGAGACAUACACUUUUGACUACACCUGUCCAGGUGGGGAAGAGUGGGGCAUCUGUGCUGCUCAGGCUAAUAGAAGGGUAGAAAGAUUUGUUUAGAUUCAUAUACUCAUAGAAUUUUAGAACUGAAAUGAUCCUAGAGUAAUCAGCUAGGCCCCUGGUUUUCAAACCUGGCUGUACAUUGUAAUCACCUACAGAGCUUUAAACAAUUCCGCUGCCUGGGUCUCACUCCGGAGAUCCUGAUUUAAGGCAUCUGGAGUGAGGCCUGGGGGACUUGAUAUUUAAAGGCUCCCCAGGUGCUUCUAAUGUGCAGCCAUCGUUUGAGGACCAGUGAUUUCAUCCAACUGCCCCAUUCUACAAGAUAAGGAAGGACCACCUGCAAAUCUGCCCACACACAGCUGGUGAGAUGCCAGGCUUCUUUCC